rnacentral:rRNA from 1 species
UGGGGAAUAUUGCACAAUGGGCGAAAGCCUGAUGCAGCGACGCCGCGUGAGGGAUGACGGCCUUCGGGUUGUAAACCUCUUUCAGUAGGGACGAAGCGCAAGUGACGGUACCUGCAGAAGAAGCACCGGCUAACUACGUGCCAGCAGCCGCGGUAAUACGUAGGGUGCGAGCGUUGUCCGGAAUUACUGGGCGUAAAGAGCUCGUAGUCGGUUUGUCACGUCGUCUGUGAAAUCCUAGGGCUUAACCCUGGACGUGCAGGCGAUACGGGCUGACUUGAGUACUACAGGGGAGACUGGAAUUUCUGGUGUAGCGGUAGAAUGCACAGAUAUCAGGAAGAACACCGAUGGCGAAGGCAGGUCUCUGGGUAGUAACUGACGCUGAGGAGCGAAAGCAUGGGUAGCGAACAGG